GGGAAGAAAAAUCCGGAUGUAAAUAAUGUUCGGACGUGACGGUACCUCACAAGAAAGCACCGGCUAACUUAGUGCCAGCAGCCGCGGUAAUACUAGGGGUGCUAGCGUUGUCCGGAAUCACUGGGCGUAAAGGGUCCGUAGGCGUUUUGCUAAGUUGAUUGUUAAAUCCAUCGGCUCAACCGAUGAUCUGCAAUCAAAACUGGUAGAAUAGAGUUCGAGAGAGGAAAGUGGAAUUCCUGGUGUAGCGGUGACAUGCGUAGAUAUCAGGAGGAACACCAAUGGCGAAGGCAGCUUUCUGGCUCGAUACUGACGCUGAGGGACGAAAGCGUGGGGAGCGAACAGGAUUAGAUACCCUGGUAGUCCACGCCGUAAACGAUGAGUACUUGAUGAUGGAGGAUUCGACCCCUUCGUUGUCGUAGCUAACGCGAUAAGUACUCCGCCUGGGGACUACGACCGCAAGGUUG
rnacentral:rRNA from 1 species